UCAGUUCCUCCGCCCGCGCCCUCCCCACCCGGCCCCUUCCCACCCGGGACUACCGGCGGCUCCGCGGGGUCCGCCCCUUGCGCCCGGGGGUCUGCGGAGCGCGCGGGCCUCCCCAGACCCCUGUCGUCGUCUGACUCCUCCGGGCGUGGGCCGGGGGCUGGCGGCCGGGACCCCCGGCUCUGGGCCUCCCAGUUUGGGCCUCAGUUUCCACAUCCACAAACCGGGGAGAUCCCUUUUUGGAGGCCGAGUGAGCGGGCUCCUCCCCAAAGCAAAGAGAACUCCGAGCCUCGUACUCUUCCCGUCUGAAGUCCGUGGGAACACCAGCUCCAACAGAUCAUUCUGCCCUUUCUUGGAAACAAGAUUCCAGGGAUGUUCUUCCAAAGGGAACCUUAGAUUUUGCGGCGGAACCUGUGUCCAGAUAGGAAGCCUACACAUGGAUGGAGGGAGGCUGCCUGAGUGCAGGAAACGAACACGUCUUGACUAACCUCAGCAUUUAGCUGGGAUGCGCCCAGGAUGCCAGUGUUCCCCAGGAACUCCGUGUGAAAACCACUGAACUAGAGUUUGGAAGUUAAAAAAACUGCUCAGCCUCCCGCCUCUGCGAAGUUUGCCCAUCUGUCUGGAAAAAGGCAGUUCAGGCCAUGUUUUUCCCAAGCAAUAGAAAAAGCCAGUCUCAACAAAGCGAGAAGUUUGUCCUAAGAAGCUGGAAGUUUACUUAAGAGAUAUUUCAACAACCUAUGUCUUCGAAAGUGGGGGAAUUUUUCUUGGAGUAUACCUGCACCAGUAUGCCCACCUUGACUUAAUCGUAUGGGGGUCUACAAGUCUUGUUCAUAAAAUGUGUUGAGCUCGAGGAAGAAAAGUACGCGGGCCUCUCUCACUGUUGUGGCCUCUCCCGUUGUGGAGCACAGGCUCCAGACGCGCAGGCUCAGCGGCCAUGGCUCACGGGCCCAGCCGCUCCGCGGCAUGUGGGAUCUUCCCAGACCGGGGCAUGAACCCAUGUCCCCUGCAUCGGCAGGCGGACUCUCAACCACUGCGCCACCAGGGAAGCCCAAAAUAAUGUAACUUUUAAAGUAUGUCUUUUGCUGUUCUGAUGAGCAGAAUUUAUUAUAGACCUAGUUUGUUGUGUGUGUGUAUGAAUGUGUGUGUGUGUGUGUGGUGGGGGGGUGGUGAUCUUGGAUACACAGAGUUAAAUUUAACGUUUUAAAUUAAUCACAUGGUUGACAUCUGCUAUGACCAGGGCCCCUUCCCAGGUAUUGCAGAGGACACAGUUGUUAUGAGGCACAGACCUUGUUUACAGAAGGCCUACAUCAGAUGUGGAAAAAAGGCUUAAACAUGUGGAAAAGUCAAUAACAAUCCCCAUAGGAAGCUGACAGGUUUUUCCAGAAGUCCUUACAUGAUGUUCCGUUCAUGUAAUUUGAUGACCAGAAGAUGCUUCUUGAGAGGACCUGUCCACUUGAAAACAUCUUAGUCAGUCUUUUUUGGGAUGUUGUCUGUCUUUAGGUAAUAACCGUGUGUCACAGGAAUCUGCAGAGGUAAGAUUUUCUUCCCAUUUAUUAAAAAAAUUGAACCAAAGUUUAUUUGGCAAUAAGAUAGGGGCUAAGUCUCUACAAGGGCUUUAAAUUUCUCUUUGGGCAGGGUUCAGCCUUUUGGGCCCCUUCUGAUGACUACCUGUGACUAUUUUUUCUAACCAAGGUCUAGCCCUUACGUCCUGAUUCUUGGGUAGCUGAUCCAGCACUGCAAUCUGUCCUGGUUUGUUACAGGCAGAGAUAAGCGAUAAGAUUCCCCAAUCCUAUUCUGUCAUAGCUUAAUACCUCUGUUGAAGCUCGGGGAUAUGAGCUGCAGAGAUGCAUGGAUGGAGAGCUGACGUCAGCCUGGCAGUUGGAAAGGUCUACUGUGACAAGCUGCUCCCAAGGUGCACUAAGCUGUGAGGCAGCACCGCCUUGUCUUUCUGUAGGGAACCCCUGCGUUCCAGACCUAGAUUCCGCACGCACAUCCCUAACCUGGCUCUUAUUAGCAUCGUGACUUGUGUUAGUGUUUAGCACUCUUAUUCAAGAAUUAAAAUCAUACUGCAUAUAAAAUGUGAAAUCAGACAUGCUUCCUCUCCAGUGGUCUAGAGAGUCACACAAAAGAAAUUGAGAAGUAUUUUAGGAGAGGGUGAAAGUAGUGGGGGGGAAAGAAGUAAUCAGUUCAGGAUUUUCCUAGAGAAAUUACAAAGGAACCACCAGAAGUCCCAAAGGGAGUAGGUUGAAGUAACUUGCCACUCUGACGAAGGAAAACCAACCGAUUAUGAAUUCAGUUCAGCGAAGGGCCCGGCUCUGCUAGUCUCAUCACUACAGCCCUAGAUGGCCCGGGUUCCUCUUCCUUCAUCACCUGCCCCGAUUGUUUCCUUGUAUUGUGUAUAAUUUUAUGAGCUUUGUGAUUAAGUUGGAGAAAAAUGAGACUAUUUAAGGACUCUUAGUAUUGUCUUAAAAUAAUGUAUACUUCUGUCUACUCUAGAUCAUUACUCAGUGUAGAACUUGGAGCUCUUUACCUAAUUCUCAGCUAUUCUAAGACAGCAAAUUUACAAUGUCUUCAAUUGGUCUAAACACAUACGGACAUUUGGAAGAUGAAAUAUUAUUGCUGCUGUUACUGAAUUUGCUGAAUACUCUUUCUAGUUACAGAGUAAAUCUGACUGUGGAGAUUAAUUAAGCAACAUAUGUUCAGUAAAAUCAUCAUCUUAAGAGUCAGAAAGUUAACACUACAUAUAAAAUUAUGAAUGUUAAAGUAGCACAUAUAAUUUUCCUUGAUCAUAAAUGACUAAUUUUGGUAGAAUUAUAUGCCAUUUUAAAAAUCUGCUUUAUUGCAAUGUAAUCUAUGUACAAUUAAAAUUCACCCAUUUAAAGUGUACUGUUCAAUGAGUUUUGAAUGAAUACAGUCACGUAACCACAACUAAAAUCAAGACAGAAAACAUUUCCUUCACUCAAAAUGUUCCCUCAAGGGACUUCCCUGGCGGCCCAGCAGUUAAGACUCUGUGCUUCCACUGCAGGGGGCACGGGUUCCAUCCCUGGUCGGGGAGCUAAGAUCCAGAAUGCCCCACAGUGCAGCCAAAAAGAAAAAAAAGAAAGAAAAAAAGUUCCCUCGUGCUCCUUUGCAGUCAAUCCCCAUCCCUCCUCCCACCCCCCCAACCCAGGAACAGAUCUGUUUCUAUAAUUUUGCCUUUUCUAGAUUGACAUAUAAAUGAAAUCUGUACUCUUUUGUGUCUGGCUUCUUUCAGCUAGCAUAAUGCUCUUGAGAUUCAUCCAUAUUAUUGUACAUAUCAGUAGUUUGUUUCUUUGUAUUGUUCAGUAGCAUUCCAUUACAUGGAAAUACCACAGUUUACUUACCCAUUCAUUACCUUUUGACAGGCAUUUGGUAUAGUUCCAGUUUUUGGCUAUCACGAAUAAAAUUACUCUGAAAUGUCUUUGUGUGGACAUACAUUUCCAUUUCUCUUGGGAAAUACCUAGCAGUGGAUUUGUUGGAUUAUAUGGCCUCUCACUGUUGUGGCCUCUCCCGUUGCGGAGCACAGGCUGAGUGGCCAUGGCUCACGGGCCCAGCCGCUCUGCGGCAUACGGGAUCUUCCCGGACCGGGGCACGAACCCGCGCCCCCUGCAUUGGCAGGCGGACUCUCAACCACUGCGUCACCAGGGAAGCCCUUUUUUCUGCCUUCUUUUGAUUUAAGUAUCUUUUAAUGAUUCAAUUUUAU